rnacentral:tRNA from 1 species
GCCGACAUGGCGGAACAGGCAGACGCAAGGGACUUAAAAUCCCUCGAUAGAAAUAUCGUACCGGUUCGAUUCCGGUUGUCGGCACCA